UGUUUUAAAAGAGAGAGAGAGUGUGUUUAUGGCAGAGCGUUAGAGAGAGAGAGGGAGAAUGCAGGAGAAAAGGCCGACCCGGUCAAUCAACUGCGGUCUCCCACGCUUCACUUCACUUGGUCGGAGAACGAACACGCCUACACCCCGCUCCGCCAAUCAUCCCCUUCUGAUCUUCUCUUUUCUCGUGAUAUUAUUGUUUCUAUAUACUUUCAGAUUCAUAAUUAGGGUUUUUUUUUACUUUUGUAAACUAUAGGAAUUCAUGAUGGCUUCGAAACGGAUCUUGAAAGAACUCAAGGAUCUCCGGAAGGAUCCUCCUACCUCUUGCAGUGCAGGUUUCUUUCUAUCGGGCUGAAGGCCUGCUUGGUUCAUAAAGUUCAGAGAAUGUAUUCGAAUUCAUCCACAGAGCUUUGUGAUGGACCAAUUAACGCCUUUACAGUAACGUGUACUGUAACCAUGGGUUCAUUUAUGUAACCUCACAGGGUACGUUGGAGAUCUGUCUACUUCUAUCUUUUUUAGCAUAUGACAAUUAUUGGCCAGUACAAAAGAUCCCCUUGAAGGCCACUCGGCAUCAAGUAACAUACUUUGCUGAGAAGAACCUAUACCCACUUAUAGUUUCUGUUCCUGCGAGUAGAUUCUUUGGUUGACCAUUAAUAUAAUGUCUCAAAGCCUAUAAAUCAAGUGCUAUCAACUCUGGUUGAUCAAGAAUCUGGCCACCAAAUUGAGCAUGAUAAUUUAAAUCUUGAUGGUACUUAAUACUGUUGAAGAAUUCGAGGUUAGAAUUUUGGAACCAGAGAGUUCUGGUGGGCCAUGGCAAAUAAAAGGAACUAUUCACAUACAAACUUCUGAGCCUGCGUUAACUGUCAGUGGUUACAUUAUCUAAUACAACAACAAGAGAGAAUGAAACUCUGUUGGCAAUUGGGACUGCCUAUGUGCAAGGGGAAGAUGUAGCUGCAAGAGGACGUGUUCUUUUGUUCUCAGUUGAAAAUAGCACUGAGAAUUCACCGGCAAAGGCAAAGUGCUCAUUGUGGUGGCUCAAUGGUGAUUCCAACAAGGCCGUGGGCGGCUGGAGCUUUUUGUUGCUGUUGUUGAAGCCUCCUUUAGUUCCUGGAUUAGGGGGGAAAAGUAAGGAGCUAGGAUAAUGAUGUAAACUGUACUGUAUAUGUGCCCCGAUUUGAGAGGAGAUCGGGUUUCUACUCCCUUAACUGACCAGAGAAUGUUACGACUUGUGUUUCUUGGGAUGGUAAUGGGCACGGUUUAUGCGUAGUCAAGAAACUUACCGUAUUGAUACGUAGUUCUUUAACUUUUACACAGCCUUUGGAAUGCCUUUGUGAUCAUAGAUCUUAUGACGUAGUUUUUUCCUUACGUCUCAUUUUGCCAAUUUAUUUUUCUACUUUUGUACAAAAAUAAUGUUUGGGAUUAAUAAUUGAUACGUUUUUUUUUUAUUUCAGUACAGAGGAUAAGAUCAUCGU
rnacentral:lncRNA from 1 species